rnacentral:rRNA from 1 species
UCCUACGGGGGGCAGCAGUGAGGAAUAUUGGUCAAUGGUCGGGAGACUGAACCAGCCAAGCCGCGUGAGGGAUGAAGGUACAGAGUAUCGUAAACCUCUUUUGUCAGGGAACAAAGGCGGGGACGCGUCCCCGGAUGAGUGUACCUGAAGAAAAAGCAUCGGCUAACUCCGUGCCAGCAGCCGCGGUAAUACGGAGGAUGCGAGCGUUAUCCGGAUUUAUUGGGUUUAAAGGGUGCGUAGGCGGUUUUUUAAGUUAGUGGUUAAACGUCGGGGCUUCACCUUGAUUUGCCAUUUAUACUGUAAGA